UACAGAGGGCGCGAGCGUUGUCCGGAAUCACUGGGCGUAAAGGGUGCGUAGGCGGGUCUUUAAGUCAGGGGUGAAAUCCUGGAGCUCAACUCCAGAACUGCCUUUGAUACUGAAGAUCUUGAGUUCGGGAGAGGUGAGUGGAACUGCGAGUGUAGAGGUGAAAUUCGUAGAUAUUCGCAAGAACACCAGUGGCGAAGGCGGCUCACUGGCCCGAUACUGACGCUGAGGCACGAAAGCGUGGGGAGCAAACAGG
rnacentral:rRNA from 1 species